rnacentral:rRNA from 1 species
GACGAACGCUGGCGGCGUGCUUAACACAUGCAAGUCGAACGGAAAGGCCCUGCCUUUGUGGGGUGCUCGAGUGGCGAACGGGUGAGUAACACGUGAGUAACCUGCCCUUGACUUUGGGAUAACUUCAGGAAACUGGGGCUAAUACCGGAUAGGAGCUCCUGCUGCAUGGUGGGGGUUGGAAAGUUUCGGUGGUUGGGGAUGGAGUUGCGGCUUAUCAGCUUGUUGGUGGGGUAGUGGCUUACCAAGGCUUUGACGGGUAGCCGGCCUGGGAGGGUGACCGGCCACAUUGGGACUGGGGUAGGGGCCAGACGCCUACGGGAGGCAGCAGUGGGGAAUAUUGCACGAUGGGCGGAAGCCGGAUGCAGCAACGCCGCGUGCGGUAUGACGGCCUUAGGGUUGUAAACCGCUUUCGCCUGUGACGAAGCGUGAGUGACGGUAAUGGGUAAAGAAGCACCGGCUAACUACGUG